AAGUGAUAUGUAACUUCUACUAUUUUGAAGCGAAUUGUAGCAAACCCAUAUGCUUGCAUACAUUUGCAACUCUUGGAAUUUAAUAAAGGCAAAUUCCUCCUGAGCAGCGACUAAUGACCAUCGCUUGAAGCUAAUCAGGCUGGCAUGAGGUCGGUUUCGUUUUGAUUUUGGGGAUGGGGUUUCCUUGGCCCCUCUCUGUACUUUUCCCUGCGAAAUCAUUAAUCUGCCACACUCGCUCAGACAUCAGACGUCAGUGGCAGGCAUCCACCAGAGGUUUCCCACAUCUUCCCCCUCAUCUAGCCCCAAAAAGGAACAUUAAUUUCCUCUGGUGCGCUGCUUAGGAGACAUUAUAUAGAGUACCUGGUCGAUCGAAUUCUGUGAUAGCUUUAGCUGAUUGCACACAAAACGGAUUUGCCUAGCUGCACAUCGCAAAAACCGCGCCCCGAAAAUCGUACCAAGAAUAACACAAACGAGACGAAUCUUUCGAUUCCUUUGUGGCAAUGUCUGCAAUUCGCAUUACGCAUACGCCGCGUGAGCCUGCGAAUGCUUGUUUGAUGUUUCCAACUCUGCUAUCAGUGUACAAGUGUUUAUGCUUGUGUGGGUGUGCGGUUUAAUGUGUGUGUGCUAAGUGUGUGUGUGCGUGCUUGUGUUGCUUUAUGAUGACAUGCCAAACAUUUAUGCAAAAUGCUAAUUUAAAUCCAAGUCGUGAGCUAAGGAAGUUGUUCAACUUGCUGGUACAGUGGUAGUAGGUAUAAAAUAGAGAGAUACAUUUAUAAAUUAGAGAGAUACUUUUUAACUAUACAAAAAAAAAAUGUAUUGAAUGUAUUAUCCCAUAAUCUGUUAAGCUUAUGAAUUAUUGAAUACUUUUUAUAUUCCGGUACAUGUAUAAAUGCGAUUCUGGGUUAUUAAAUUGUAUUUAUUUAAUUAAUUAUACAUCUGAAUAAGAUUUUAAACCCAAUAUUUAAGACUCUUAAUGAUAUUUAUCCACUGUACUGGUGUCUUAGGCGUAAACGCCUCUUCAUCAGCAUAACUCGUCAGGCAUGACAUUCCAGCCCCUGUACUUGGCAUCGAGUUCUGGUUGUGCUAAUGCCUGAAUGUCCGACUUACCGAAUGAAUAUGAAUAGUUAAAUAGCCGGGGAAUGAUGGACUAUCUUGGCCACACCUUUCGCUGCAUUUUGGCCAUCUUCGUUCCACUUCGCCCCAUUGGCGUGGAAAUACGAAAAUGGCUGCGACAGGAAAUUACGGCAGAUCUAAAGCCGAUAUCUCGCAUGGAUAUCUAACUGGUGCAAAUCUUGAGGGGAAAUUAGCUGCGAAAAUGCUUAAAAUUGGAAAUUUAAAUGUGAGCAGAGCGAUUGUAGUUGUUGUUGCUCAUUGUAAUUUGCUAAAGUAUUUGUGGAAUAUGAAUUGCGAGCAUUUGCAUAAAUGAAAUGUGUAUGUAAAUGUCGAGCUCGUAAUGCCAAUCAAUCACCCCAAAAAAGGGAACUCACGCACACACAUGCGGAGCAGCUCCUCCCACACGCAUACAGGCACACAAAACCAAUAAACUAAAUUCGCAAGGAGCGAAAAAAAAAACGGAAGAAGGAUGAGAAACUCGAGCAGAAAUCGUCAACAACAUACAUGAUGCAGUGGGGAGGGUCCUUUGUACGUACAUAUGUGUGUGCGUGUUUGUGUGAGUGUGCCAACCCUUAUCCUUGGCAGGAUAUUACAUGCUUCAACAAUGUUGUAGCAUUCCCAAUAACAACAACUCCGCUCAGAGCAUUCCUGCCGAAAAUGAAAUUCUGUUUUGCAUUUUAUGUCGACAUCUCCUGAACCCAAAAUGUAUAAAAAAAAAAGAAAAUAAUACAUAUAGAAAGACGAACCCGCCAAAGAAUAAAGCAGAAGGAGCUAAAAGGAGCAGGAGCAACAAGGACAUACAGCAGAAAAAAAUGAAAUCUAAACAAAAUGCGUUCGAGCGUGUGUGUUCAAUUACAAUGUGUGUGAUUGCUUGGCUCGCUAGGCAGCCGAAAAGGGGGCGCAGGGGGUGUGGCAGGACCCCGGACACACACACACACCCACACACCCGCUUUAGCAUAAAAAUUUACAAUGCGAAAUAAGCAAGCGAAACGAACGAACACAAAACGCUUUUUAUUUCAAUGUUCUUAUUUUUUUUCUGGCUGCUGGUUUUCAGGACCUCCGCAGGACCUUUAGGACCACGAGCACGGCAUCCUUAUGCAAAUAACAUCCACACUGGCACAUAAAAAUAAAAUAAUAACAAUACAAUAUUUUUUUGAUGACAGCCGCCGCCCCAGAAGAGCGUUGGCACAACAAUGCAAAUACCCCACGCAUCCCAUCUAUAUAUAUCUUCGAAUUGCGAUUUGGGUUCAAGGUCUGCCCAUCAAAGAAAGGUUUAAUCGAUAGCGAAAUUCUUGGUCUGGGUUCUCUCUUAGUGUAAAUUUCGAAGAUAUUCCUUCGACAUCAUGAAUCAUGAUGUGGUGCCAUCAAAUUUUGUUUCAUUUUUAAUGCUGCCUGGAGUUAUGAACUGAGAUGAUGCGGCGGUUAAUGGGAUCAGUAGGAUGGGAAAAGAAUCCAAUUUUUGAGUUUAUUAGUAUUUCAUUUGCUAAUAUUUUUUAGAUAAAAUUUCUUCAGGAUUUCAGCAAUUGAAGAUCUGAUGAAAAUACUUGAAUAUAUAACGAAUACAUCUACCAUUUAACAUUAUCUUUAACAAUAUACAAAAUAAUAUACCAGGUGAAAUCAGAUAUAUGAAUGCUCAUCGGGAAAUAAAUUUCAAGAGAUAAAUAAAAUUCAAGAGAUAAAUAAAUAUCAAGAAUUAAGUCUGAGCAAAAUAUUAUGUCCAGAUUUGAUGUCGUUUUCAAUUUGUAUCAAUCAUCGUUCCGGGAACAAUUAAAAAUUCUAAAAUUUCCAUCAGCAUAACUCGGCUAACUCUCUCCUGCCCUUCGAAUGCAACAAUAUAAAUAAUUAUUUUUGCAUACACAAUGUAAGGCAAACAACACGAUAAACACAGGCUGGCGCAAAGGAUGCAUGGGAAUGCGAGUGCGAGGAGAAUAAGGAGCGAAAUCACAUUUGAAUAACAAUCAUCAUGCGAGUUAUUUCAAUUGACAAGGGGGGCGGGGCCGAUCGGGGGGGCGCUGAAGAUAUUGAAAAUAUGAAAAGACACGAGAGUUGGAAAGAAAAAACACACGCGAAAUCACAAAGAAUUCAUAAUAAGCGUCAUUGUCGAUGGCAGCGAGCGGGAAAUGAAUAAAAAUCAAAGUACAUUGAGGAGUCCUGUGUGUUGACAAAGGUGAAAAAGGGUAUGAGUGGGGGGCGGGGAGAUCGAAGGACGAAUGGAGAGGGAGUAUUACUGAAGGGCACGUAUAGGAAUGUGGAAUUGAAUGUGUCGCACAGGAUGUGUGCUUUUUUAUUGUUGUAUGUGCACUACACGGGUAGAAAUAAUUUAAAAAUUUAAUUUUUAACAAUAAAAUGUUGUCAUAAGUGAGGGGUGGUCCUGUUGGAAAUGAUUAUCACUCGUCACUCAGGCAAUUCAAUAUUCUAACUACCGACUUUCCAUUUUAAAUUCCACCCACUUUAAUUUUUGCUGACCUUUAAAAUGGCCGGCCGUAAAUAUGAAUCACCCAAUUUUUUUUUUUCGACGUGUUGAAGACAUUCCCGAAGCCUGCCACCAUCUGCAUGUGUGAGUCGAGUCGAGAGCCAGCCAAAGGAUGUCGUAGCCUGGCAGGAUCCUCCGCCUGCGUGGCCUGCAUGAAUUUUGAAUGACAAUUUGCAGGCGGCAGGAGCAGCAGCAACCAAUCCCCAGAAUUCAGGCCAUUGUUCGCUUAUUGAAAUUUCAGCCAAAGGAAAACGGAACGAGCCACUUGAAUUCGCAGGAUGUGAGUGAGAAAAUAAGGACAUAGUGCCGUUGCUGUUCCGCUAUGAUGUGAUGAUGCCAGUUGACAAAUUGUGGCAGCCAGCAAGUGGCAUUUCAUUUUCAUAGCCACCAGUUGCGCUGCCAUUUGCUCAUCCUCAACAUAAUUGAUUUCAUUAAAUGCGAGGGCAAACAAGCCGAGCAACAAGUUGCCACAGGAAAAUGAGUGAAGUACGGAAAAACCACCCACUCUGCCAAUGCCCGACUGAAAGUAAAAACAAAUUAAGCUCUCACGACGGCGACGGCGAAAUAAUUGGGGGAAUUUCCGCAAAACGCCCCAGACAAGCGCAGCAAGAUGAAGAAGAGGAGGACUGAGAAAAACUGAGCCAGACACUUUGACAUAAUUUCCCCGCCAGCAGACUCUGCCACCCACCACCCCCUCAAGGACACGACCAUAACCAACCCCAACAAAGUUUUAAUUAAUUGCGCCCGAACCACACACACACACACAAAUGCCUGCUGCUAAAAGCGGGGGGAAAAUGAAAAUGAGUCAAGCUGCGAAAAGUUGGGCGUUCAUUUUCACGUACACGAGCUUCUCUUGGGUUUCCUGAAUUUUCCAAAGACACAGCAGCAGUUAAAUGGCAAAGAAAAGUAAGUGUGUGUGUGUGUGUGUUUGUGUGUGUGUGUGGGGUGUGGGCCAACGAGGUCGAAGGAGCAGCACAAUGUGGCUUAAUUUCAUUAUGUCGCUUAAGAUGUUGUUGCUGCUGCUCCUGUGGAUGUUGUCCUUGCUUGUUUGCUGGAUGCUGCUCCUGCAACUGAAAGUUCUCUUCGUCUGUUGCUCCUGGGAUUCCAAAUGUUGCUGCUGUAACUGCAGUUGCAAUUUUUAUGGUUCCUUUUUUUUUGUGGCUAAAGUUUCUUUUGCACGAAGUGCUGUCAAAAUUUGUGCAACAAAGUUAAGUUUUACUUUACAUUACUUUUGCGUCCUAGCUAGUUUGUGUAAACGCUAAUUAAUAUAACCAAUUUUAUAUGAAUAUGUAUCGAAUUGCCUUUAUGUGUUUUAAGGAUAUGCUUCUAAAAACCAAUGUUCAAAAACCAAUUUAAUAUCAAUAGCUCCUCUCUCAUUAACCAAUCCAAGGGGACUGUCAAGUGCGUUACUUGCAAAACCUGUAACAAGUAAAAAGUUUCCAGAGCGCAGUAAAUUACAAGGGAAGAGAAAAUCUCUCGAGAUAUAAAUACAUUAUAUUUCCGGCGGGCAACUUCCGGUUCCGCGCUGAAUGCGGAGAAGCUGCGUAAAAUUAUUGAAUGCAAAGCAUAAAAUCCUCAAUCAAAUUCAUGAUGCGUGAAGACGAAAGACAAAAGCGUUUCGAAUUCGCUUCAGGUAGCCAAGGAAACGAUGCCCUACAUGCGGGCCUAGAUUUUGGAUUUUAUAUGCAGAUGAGAGAUUCGUCGGGAUGUGAAAACCCAUCCCACAUCAGCCAUCUGAGCAUGAAAUGUGUAUUGAAAGUUUGGCAUAAAAGUCUAAUUAAGUGCGGACCAGAUAUCUAAAAAAAAAAAUCGCAGUAACCGAUACCAACCGCAAACACUCGAAACGUAUAGAGUUCAAUGUUUUUGCGUGGCGAGCGAUGGAAAGUCAGGUAUUGCGGUGUUUAUAUUUUUACUACCCCUAUUGUCAAUAAAAUCGGGAGUAGGCAAACAGGAGAUAGGAUGCUCUCGAAACCCUUUUUUUUAUUAUUCGCCCUUCGGGCCGCACCCAUUGUCUGAAGGCGAUUUAUUGCCGAUUUGCCCCUUUGGAUCGCAGAAAGUGCUUUUUUUUUUGGCCAGAGAGAUAGAGCAUUUAUCUGAUCUAACCCCUUUGUGAUCUGCCAUUGUCCCCCUGGCUUUCGGGCAUUAUUAUAAAUUUGCCUUUUAAUUUACGUUACGCCGAUUUCAGACAAUGCCCGGCUAUGAAUAUUCAUAAUGCCGAAUCACAACCGAACUGACAAUCGCAUGUUAAUGGGCUGGCAUAUGUUGAGGAUUCCCCUUUCCCAUUUGGCGAGUGAAUGGGGUUAGUGCUCUGAUAUCUCUGGCAAUUGCAUAAAAAUUGUUGAUUUAUGCCCGCCGAUUUCGAUUUUUCGCAAUGCCAAUAUUUCUUUAUGUCGCCGUCGCAUUUAACAACACAUUUACAUGCUGUUUUGCGUGUCCUCUAUUUUAUUAUUUUUAGAUUUUCAAUUUUACGGGUAGAAAUGAUGGGUGAAAGGGUUUCGUCAUUGAAUUGCCCAUGAAAUUUCAAGUGUUUUUCUCGAUGUCACCGAGAAUUGGGUGACUCUUUGGUAUGUUCAUCGAAUGGUUAAAGUGGUUUGCUAACAAAAAACCGGAAGACUUGUGAUAUUUUGAGUAAACAAAAUAAUAGGUAAUAGGCAAUUGAGGAUUAACAAAAGACUAUUUAUCCAUGGCACAAUUUAUUUAAUAGACAUAAGAAGGAGUAAAUGGAAUAUCCCUUUAUGAUAUAUUACUAAAAUUAUGAUUUGGCAAAUAGGUUAUCUGCUUUAUGACUAACGGAAACUAGAUGAAUGUUGUACAUUUUAUAUAGACUGGUUUUCAUUUUUUUUUAAACUCAAAAUUAUGGCCUGCAAAACUCAGAUUUGCCUCAUUUGACUACCCCAUGGAGCUUGAGCAAUGUGCAUGUUCUAACCCAUCAUCAAUACAAAAGAUUCAGCGAAAGCAAAAAGCAGCGAACCUUAAGCCGCCACAAAAUUCAGACGCCAGCUCAUCAAUCAAAUGACAGGCAGCAUUUACCAAAUUUGUCAGUUUAUAAGCCGAAUAAAAUAACCAAAUGCCACGGCGAAAAUCCCCAGCAGAACGCCUUCUAGAAAAGGAGAGACGAAGGACAGAUUGAUGUGGGCAUUACGUGACCAGUUCUCCAGUUCCCGAAAAGGGGUUUGAUCUGCUGAUUUUGAAGGCCUCUCGCUGGGUAAUUUAUGCGCCGGCGUAAACGCCUCAGCGAAAAAGUAAAAAGUGAAAAAGAACUGAGGGCCCAGGAGGCUGUUCUACCUGGUCGGAGGAUAUGCGCAUAUAGCUAUGGCUAUGGAUAUGGGCAUAGGACAACCCUCUCCAUAGCGAUUGCCCUUCGCUGAUCCGCGCUGAAUAAAUUAGAAUUUAUGCGCGAUUUGCAUGACUGAGGCAGCGAACCCUUCACAGCUGUUCUGCGAUUCCGAAGAUCCUCAGUUUGUGCGUGAAGCUCGGGCGUGUUGGUUGCCACAUCGAAAUGGUGAUGGUUCAGAUGGACAGAGAUAUACGAAAGCCGGUUUUGGCACUGCGAAAAAUUCCUGAGACUUUGAGUAGCAGAUCAAAGUAUUCAUAUGGUGAAAAAAACACAGGAUGCUGCUUAUACAAAUGUGUGCACAUUUCAUUGACUUUAAAACAUUUUCAUAAUAAAUAUAAUACUAAAGUAUCGAAAGAUAUUCAAAGCAGUGAAUUUUCUCCCAGUGAUUAAUCCCCUAUGGAAAUAGCAUUGGACUGCACGCAUGCGUGACUCCUUUACGGUCAAGUGGCAUGGCUUCGAGAGGGUUAAUGUUGGAAAAGUUGGGAAUUUCCCUCCUCAGGUUGUUCAAUAGCAGUAGCUGAAAAGUAGUGGCUGCUCCUCCACUGGUGGCCACUUCACAUGAGCCGACUCCUCAAGACCAAGUUAAUAAUAUGAAAGAAAUCACUUGGCAGCUUUGGUGCAUUGUUAAAAGUUUUUAAGCCGCGCCUCAAACAGAAAAAAAAAAAUGAAAUAAGAAAGGGAAAAGCGCCGCCUCAUAUGUGGCAAACAAAGUUAUUUGUGGUAGUGCUUUUGUGGUGCCCCUUUUCCCAUUUCCCCUCCCCGCCCUCACCAAUUUUUCCCGACAAAGGUAGUUCUCAUCGGGCGCCAGCAAACUUUGCUGUUUGCGAAACUUUUUUCUCGUCGCUUUUCCUGCAUUUUUUACACAAUUUCUUUGUUGGACCAUGGGGCUUUUUGGGGGGUGUGGACGGAAAAUACGCAGUAGCUGCGGCAGCCGCUGCGUAAAACUUUUCACUUUGACUCGACUUUAUUGUAUUUCUAAUACUUUGCCUUUCAGCCAAGUUAGUGACUUCGACGGCAGCAUGUGAACAAUGUAAGCGGCCAACGGUUGCCAAACUGUAAGCGUCCAUAAAAAUGUUUGGUCUCUGGCCACUCGAGCAGAUUGUGGAGAAAAGGGGAUAUCCCAGGGUCUUCCCGGGGAUCCCCCCAUUAGUUCACUGGGGUUCAAGUGGAGCCAAGACAGCAAUCUCACACACACAUACAGACACACACACUCUUUCGCACACAGAUUGCAGACAAUUGAAAAUUUUACAUUUUAUGACGCUGCGCAAUUUGUGGCGGUUGCCAAGACCCAGCAAAAUUCUUGAUUCUUGAAUAAGGACAAAGUUUUUGGGUGUCUUAAGGUGUCUUACCUAUCUAAAACAUGACACGCAACUUUGAAUGUGGUAAAAAGGAUAGUUAUUUAGUUAUUGAACUCAGGUAGUCUAGUAUUUAUUUCUUGAAGUGAGUACUGAUAAAAAAACUGUCGGUAUUGGCCAAAGAAACCAUCAUAUAAACUCAUAUUGUUCAGAAUAAAUUGUAUCAUUAAAAAUUCAAGAAAUCUCGUAGAAAAUCUGUAACGCUCUAUCAAAACACUUAUUCAAGAACAUUUAGAAUAUAAUAAAGAAUAAACUAAUAUUUCCCUGAUUUUUUCCCAAAACUAAAGACACCAAAUCUAAUGUAUUUCCUUGCGAGACCUUUGAUUGCCAACUAAAACUGACAUGGCAGCUCAAGUUGACAUCCUCAAAGGCUCUAAAGUUACCUUAUUUAUAUGUGCACAUAUCGGCAAUUGGAUUUGGCUACAAAUUGGGCAGACAAAGCCAGGCACAUAGGUACCACUGCGUAUUGGGAUGGCACAAAGCUCGUUUGAGGGCCUUUUGUCGCAAAGCCCAUUAAAUGUCGGGCCACCAAUUUGGCCAGGAUCUGAAUACGGCAGCAGUGGCAGCUGUAGAAACUGAACUGAACUCAACUGAAACGGAAACCCAAGCUCAAGCCGAAAUGCGAAAUACAGAAAUAGAAAGAUAUAUCGGAGGAGACAGAGAGUGUUGCCUUCUGGAUCGACUCUGCCAAAUGAAAUGUGAUGAAUUGUACGUAAUUUGGAAGGGCGACACAUUUGCAUGAGUAGGGAAAAUCGCCACCCCCUCGCCACCCCUCACCAUUCGCUACUUUUCCUCCGUUUGCCAGCUUUUCCUGAAAAUGGCAAACUGUCAGUUUGGAGUUCUUCUCGGCAGAAACUGUGCGGCACUCACAUCUCAUUAAUUUGUGAUUGAUACGCUGACUCUGAGCUCUCAUCUUGCUGGGAAAAUCCACCACCCCAUCCACAAAGUCAGCAGUGUGUUUGUGCGUAAAGCGUCACAAAUGAAAUUGAAGUGUGUUUGUGAUCCCAUUACAAAUAAGUAAAGGGAGCUUCCUUGAGGGAGGGAAGUUCUUGGGGAUGCGGGGACUCUACACAUUUGAUGGAUUUGCAUGUGCUGUGACACAAGUCACUAAAAUAUCUUAUUACACAGACACACACACACUGUGGCACAUACGGGCUAACACACACGCACACACACUCACAUGUCACAGGCAGCCAUUUUUAUUCGUAACUCAUAUAGGCCGCAUAAACAAACAGGACCCGCCAUUGGACUCAACUGUGCCUCACUUUUGCGAAAUGCACCAAAGAAAUAUUUCUUAUGCUAAGCAACAAAUUAACAAAUUUAUUGAGUGAAUGAAUUAUUUAACUAACAUUUUAUUGACUUAUUAAAUAUUUAGCAAAUUGAAUCAUUUCAUACUUCCUUGAUUACUUAUAUUUUUACUCUCAGUGUAGUUCCCACACUUUUCCUUUUUUGGUCCUGACGAAAUUGUCUCCCAUUUAUUUUUCAACUUCGAUUUUUGCCUGUCGCGCUUUGCGUACUUCCAUUUCUUUUACUUUCUUUUUGCAAAUUGACACCCUCUCACGCACGCACACACACACACGCACACACACACACACGCAAUGAGAAAGCUUGUUAGAGUGGUUGUUGUAGUUUUCCCUCUGCAUGUUUGCUUUUGUUGUUUUUAUGUCUAUCUGACUGUCAAGCUGCGGCUGCUGCUGGUUUUUUUUUCAGCAUUUUGCGCUGCCUGCUGCUCCUUCGGCAGCUUCAUCAAUGCCGGAAGCGUGAAAAUCUACAGCCGAAAGAAAGGGAAAAGUUCACAAAUGGAAAAUUACGGGUGCACACGUGCUCACACACGCUAUAUGUGUGUGUAUGUGUGUAAUAGCCACCCCCUGACCCACAACAACAACAGCGCAUAUUUUCCCAACCCCAUGAACUCAGACUCGUUUGUCAUUUCAGGUUGUUUUAUUCAAUUUCGAGGCAAGCGAAAUUCGCAAAAAAAAAAUGAAAGGCAAAAGGGAGCGCGAUGGCUGCGAAAAAAACUCUUUGAAAAUUUAACGCGCUGAAUGUCAUGCGAUAUGUCACACAUGUAGCCCAUAGACUGUUACGCCCCCUUCUCCCACAUAUAUAUUUUUAUUUUUUUUUUUGUCAAACCGCUGCCUUAUCGGCUGCCAUAUUAAUGUACUGGAAAUUUGCCAUUUUCCCUUCAUGGCUGAAAAAUAUAUGCGAAACACCCCGAAAUGGUUUGGGCACCAGAAAAGGAGCUUUUCAUUUAGUUGUCAAUGUUCUUUAAUCUUAUUUAGAGCUAAGAGCAGAAGUAAGAACCAUUAAGCAUAAAUAUCAUUUGAUAUUAAUACGUAUACGUGCAGACAAACAAGACAGUUGAGCAAAUAAAUAUAUAAUUCAAAACAGGGAACGAAGUUGCUCACUGCUAAAGUGAAGAAUAUUUGAAUUGAAUAAAAUAAUGACAAAUAAUUAAUAAACCAAAUCGAUAGAAUAUGUGAAUGCAAUAAACCGAAAAUAUUUAAAAAUACUUUAAAUGCCAAAAGCCAUAAAGCAACAACAAAUUUUUAAAUGAUUAUUGUUUUUUUUGUAUUAAUUAUAUAUAUUUUUUAUAUUUCUGAAGUCCUAGUUUUCUGAAUCGGAACAUCGUUAUGUGUGCUGACACUUUGGCAACCUUUAGCCAUUCAAUGCCAACGAUGCGUGUCCACAGUCGAUUCUAAUCAGGGAACUCCAGUCGGGCAGCAAAAGGCAACAAAAUGGAGAGCUGAAUUUCCAUUCUUUUUGUCGGUUGCACUCGAAUGAAUUUCAUUUGCGAACUGGCAGCCAUGGAAAAGGGUCAGUUUUCGGGUUUGUCCACUGCUGAUCCUUUUGUCAAUUGCCCUGGCUUUUCGAGAGUUUUCCUUUCUCCUUCUGGCUUUUCAACUACCAAGUCGGCGAAUGUCUUUUGGUGCUGCAAGAUUGGCAAAUCUGUAGAUUGAAUGACUUCUCAUAUUGUCGAUUGAUUGUCCUUGGAAAGGUAAGUGGGGUCUUUUGCUUGCCAUAAGUGAUUGUCGCGGCGAUUUUGAGAUAUUUGAGUAAUUAAAUGAGCAGUUAUUGGGAACCCAAUCAUAUUAGACUAUUGAAGUGGAAAACAAUACAAUAGGAUCUUGACAAAUGUUGACAUAUGUGUAGUUAAUGAUUACCAACGUUAAAGUAGCUUACAAUACACUUACGUUUUAAUAUAUCUAUAUAAAGCAUAAUAUAUAAUAUUUUAAACUGAUGUUUUCUUUUAGUUUAUCAACACAAAAUGUUUAAAAUUGUUUCUUUCAAUUUCUUUGGUAUCAAAUACCAUUUAUUUUCUCACUUGAAAACUUUCUCGAAUAGUUUUGUACCGAAAAUAAACCCAUUAACUUUAAUGUGUCCUUGGUGGAUCAUAAAUCUCCGGCAAACAAAUAGCAGAAUAUCCUUUUGUUUUUUUCGCCCAUUUCACUUCAACUUACCGCCCACGUAGCCCAUUAAUUUCUUGUGCCAUUUUAAUUUCGCUUUCAUUUCGGUAGACGCUGCAAGGCCAAAUGCAACAACAUCUAAGACUGCGUCUGGGGAAGCCCCGUGGAAAUGAGUUCGCAAAAGUGGGCGGUCUGGAAGGAAGUGGGAAGUGGCAAGAAAAACUGUUGCAUUAAAGGCUGGGCGGCAGUCGCUACGUCAUCGCUAUUGCUGCUGUGAAAAUGAGCCAGCUUGGUAGUUAGUCAGCGUUCGCUUUUCCUUGCUGCUGUGCUCCGCUUGUUUCAUUUCAUUUAUUUCAGCCCGUUGCCGGUAGAAUUUCCACAGCUUUUCCGCCGAACCCCACACCCCCUCCCCCCGUUUCAUUUUCCUCUUCUGGGGGCUAUAAUUUCAUUCGCCCAUUAAAAAUAUACUUUGCAACCCACUCGGAGCGGAGUUGUUGUUGCUGCUGCUCCUGAUGCUGCUGCUUUUGGUGUUGCACGUUGCUCUGCCAUCGUCCUGCGUCGACGUCGUCGUUCGUUAGUUUGUUUUUGGGGCCAAAGCCGCAAGAGAGCGCGGCCCACAUUUCCGCACCCGGCAAAAGAAUGGCACACAGGCACGGAGAAAAAUGUAGGAAAUAGAUUUCAAUGAAUGCUUAAAAAGGUUAAAAAAAAAGUUCAUAUGUCUUAGGCAAUCAUACUUAAACGUUUUUAUGGUAUAGUUUUUAUAGCAUCAGUAAUGCCAAGCUUUUAAAAUACUAUUAUACGAAUUGAUAACAUACGACUUCGAUUUUCAAUUAACUAUUAUAAGCACCAAACAUUAAAUGGCAAGUUAAACGAAUUAAAAUCUUUUAUUCCCACACACUCCCUUUUUAAUUUAAGAGCUAAUUACAACUUUAUUGGAUCCCCAAAAUUUUAUCGCCGUGUGGUAAUGAGAGUUUUUCCAACUGAACCUCGCUGCGCAGCCGACUGCGCUGCCUCUGCUGGCGUUGGUGUGGGUGCUGCGCUCAUUUUCAUUUUCAUUUUCGUUGAUGAGAUAAUGGUUUCGGUGUCUCUGUUUUUCCUCUCGCUGGAAAACCAUGAUGAUGAUGAAGCUGCCGGGAGUGAAUUAUUUUAAAUGUGGGUUUCAAGGUCAAGGUGACGGCGGUUAUUGUUUUGCUUUUCGCGCUGCCGGCGUCGCCGUUGUUUCGCUGCUGCGUUCAUUAAGCGCCGGCAGCGACGUCGGUUUUUCCUGCUUCCACUUUUCUUGUUUGUAUUUUCUUUUUUCUUGAUUAGCAUAAUGAAGAGGUGAAUGAACCGGCGUUGGUGAAUCAACUGGUGGUUGUUGUUGCCCCGCUGUUAAUUAUCAUUUGUCUCUUAUUUGCUGAGAAUUUUUUGCGUUGAUUUCGCUUUUGGCCCGAGGAAAAGUAUUGCCUACUUGGAGGCGCCAUUUGCCGGGGAAAUUCUCCCAGGGCGCAUUCGAUAAAAUUGCGAAAAUUGCUGAGGGGCGAGAAGGGAGCGAAAGGGAGUGGAAGCGUCGAACGUCGACGACGCACAUCAAAAUAUGCAAAUUGGAAUUUCAAAAAUACAGCAAUAUUGCUGAAGCCUUCAGCUUCCACUCCACAUCUCCAGCUUCUGCCACCCCAUUUCCGCCACCCUCCUUCAAGCACCCAGCCACCCCAUCACCCCAGGCACAUACUUUUGUAUGUGUACACAGAUAUCUAUCUGACAGUAGUCACUCCAACAGAUAACAGUGAACUAUCAUUUCGGGAAACCACACUUAAGUAAUCUAUUACUGAUCUUAGAUGGGAGUUAAUUGUAUUAGCCACUUUACAUUUGUCGAAUUAAAUAACUAAUAUUAAAGAAAUUAUUUUGAAAGAGGAGUAAGCAAGACAAUUAAUGUAUGAUUUAUAAGGACAAUGAAUUAAUAUAGUAUAAAUUUAU
rnacentral:lncRNA from 1 species